CUGGAGGUAUCAGAAGUGCGAAUGCUGACAUAAGUAACGAUAAAGCGGGUGAAAAGCCCGCUCGCCGGAAGACCAAGGGUUCCUGUCCAACGUUAAUCGGGGCAGGGUGAGUCGACCCCUAAGGCGAGGCCGAAAGGCGUAGUCGAUGGGAAACAGGUUAAUAUUCCUGUACUUGGUGUUACUGCGAAGGGGGGACGGAGAAGGCUAUGUUGGCCGGGCGACGGUUGUCCCGGUUUAAGCGUGUAGGCUGGUUUUCCAGGCAAAUCCGGAAAAUCAAGGCUGAGGCGUGAUGACGAGGCACUACGGUGCUGAAGCAACAAAUGCCCUGCUUCCAGGAAAAGCCUCUAAGCAUCAGGUAACAUCAAAUCGUACCCCAAACCGACACAGGUGGUCAGGUAGAGAAUACCAAGGCGCUUGAGAGAACUCGGGUGAAGGAACUAGGCAAAAUGGUGCCGUAACUUCGGGAGAAGGCACGCUGAUAUGUAGGUGAAGCGACUUGCUCGUGGAGCUGAAAUCAGUCGAAGAUACCAGCUGGCUGCAACUGUUUAUUAAAAACACAGCACUGUGCAAACACGAAAGUGGACGUAUACGGUGUGACGCCUGCCCGGUGCCGGAAGGUUAAUUGAUGG
rnacentral:rRNA from 1 species